rnacentral:rRNA from 1 species
AAGGGUCCGUAGGCGGGCCGAUAAGUCAGAGGUGAAAGUUUGCAGCUCAACUGUAAAAUUGCCUUUGAUACUGUUGGUCUUGAGUUAUGGUGAAGUUGGCGGAAUAUGUAGUGUAGCGGUGAAAUGCAUAGAUAUUACAUAGAACACCGAUUGCGAAGGCAGCUGACUAACCAUAUACUGACGCUGAUGGACGAAAGCGUGGGGAGCGAACAGGAUUAGAUACCCUGGUAGUCCACGCCGUAAACGAUGGAUACUAGCUGUCCGGGGCCUUGAGUCCUGGGCGGCCAAGCGAAAAGUGAUAAGUAUCCCACCUGGAGAGUACGUUCGCAAGAAUGAAACUCAAAGGAAUUGACGGGGGCCCGCACAAGCGGUGGAGCAUGUGGUUUAAUUCUAUGAUACGCGAGGAACCUUACCAGGGCUUAUGUGUAUAUUGACAGGACUAGAGAUAGCUUUUCCUUCAGGCAAUUUACAAGGUGCUGCAUGGGUGUCGUCAGCUCGUGCCGUGAGGUGUCAGGUUAAGUCCUAUAACGAGCGCAACCCCUGCCGAUAGUUGCCAGCAUGUUAUGAUGG